rnacentral:lncRNA from 1 species
ACCUAUAAAAAGACCUAAACCUAGAGAAUAAGAUCAAAUCUUACACUUCCCCAUUCUCUGAAAAACGAGACCCUUACACGCAAGAAACAGUGCAUCUCCCAUCUUUGUUUCCUCCGUUCUUUCCUCUGCUAAAAAAUCACAAUAAACAGACAUUAUCCUUAGAGUUCCUAAGCUAAGGCAAAACAUAUGUUUUUGCCCCUUGCUUGAUUUCAAUUUUCUUCUCUUUUUUUAUUUCAAAAAAUGGAAUUUGAUGGAAUCUGGGUUUGGUUUGAGCUCGUCGCAUGUUGAAGCUGUCGUUCGAUGCUGCGUUUCGAAUUCCGUUUGGAAUUAAUCUGCAAUCUGCUGCUGUUGUUGAUACCGAAAUAGCCGAGCUCCAUCCCGUCCUUUUUCUCCUUUAGGCUGUUGGAAUUAGUCAUCCUCUUUUGGCAUUAAGGUGCUGUUUUCUACACUGUAUACAUGCUAUUUUAAAUAAGAGUUAUGUUAACAUUACUAGUAAUAAUUUAUUAUUUGAAUUUCAUAUCAAGCUUUUCUGGUGUUAAAUUUAUUUAUUUAUUUAUUUAUUCUUCUGAUUUUUGACUCUCAAUAUGAUUCUGCCUAAAAAUGGUUUAUGACUUCUCAUGUAUCUUAUCUUUGAAGAUUAGUAUUUGUUAGCUCAAAUUGUUCCCUUUUUUUUAUCGUUACUGUAGUCGACGGAACAGUACGGAGAAAACUAUGAAUAUUCAUUUGCUUAGUUUCAUUUGGAAUUUUUUUUAGUAUUAGUACUUAACGAUUCGGCCGGUCAUUUUUGGAAUUUACUCUCGAUCCCCCAUUAACUGUUUCCCUUAAGUUCAUUUCUGCUAUUUUUGUUUGCUGGAACGUUCGGUAUUAGGUUUUUGAGAGUUUUGGGACACUUAGUCCCUAAAAGAGAGCUAAGUGUUGGAAAGUGAUUUGUAGUCGGAACAGUGUGAAGACGACCUCGGAAUGAAAAAUCGAUGAUUUUGUUAGCUCUGUUAGGUAAUUUCAGGGUUGGGAUGGGAGCUCAUUUAGGCUUGAAAUGCCGAAGUUUAUAUUUUUGAAGUUUUCGAUCCGAUAGUGAGUUUUUGAUCCUAGGGUCAGAUUGGAGUUUUGAAAGUUGCAGUAGCUCCGUCAUAUCAUUUUGGACGUGUGUGCAAAAUUUUAGGUAAUUCGAACGCGUUUUGGUUAGGUUUUUGAACGAAAGUGUAUUUUGAUGAAACUUGAAGUUUUUAGGCUUAAAUCAUUGAUUAAAGGGAAAAGGGUCAGAAUUGCCCCUAAUGCAUUGACUCCAGUUUAAAAAUGCCAUCCGUUAACCUAUCUUGAGAAAAAUGCCCCUAUCGUUAAAAAUUUGGCAUAUUUGUACCCCUAAUUCUAACAACUGACUGUACUUAUAUUUAAAACGGUAGGGGCAUUUUUUUCAAAAUAGGUUAACGGAAGGCGCAUUUUUAAACUGACUUGUUAGAUUUAGGGGCACAAAUAUGCCAGAAUUUUAACGGUAGGGCAUUUUUUCAAAAUAGGUUAACGGAGGGCAUUUUUAAACUGGAGUCAAUACGUUAGGGGCAGUUCUGACCCUUUUCCGUUGAUUAAAUUGGAUUUUAUGCUGUUGUUUUAGGUGUUUAAGGAUUUGUACAAGUUCGAAUAUGGUAUUUGGUAUUAUUGGUGCUUUUGGUUGAAGACCCGGGGGCCUUGGGAUGAUUUCAGGUGGUUAAUGAAGAAAAUUUUGAAGUGCAGCAGCAACUGAUUCUUCUGGUAUUUCGCUUCUGGUGCUCGGAAACCGCAAAAGCGGAGACGCAUAAACAGCUAUUCCAUUGCAGGAGCGAAAUUUGGGCUCCCUCAGCUUUUCCGCAGGUGCGAAAGAUUAACCGCAGAUGCGGUUACGCACCUGUGAGACUUUUAUCGCAGAUGCGGCCCUGGGUCAUUGGUGAGAAACCGCAGAAGCGGUAAGUAUUUCGCCGAAGCGGCAACCGCAGGUGUGGUGUAAGGUGGCAAAAGCGAAACCCAGGAGUUUAGUGAAUAGUCGCAGAAGCGGCAUUUGUUCCACAGAAGCGGGACCGCAGAUUCGAUCCAUUGUCUGCAGAAGUGGAAAUGCCUGUGCAAAUAUAAAAAUUGAGGGUUGGAUUAUAAGUUAGAAAAAUAAAAUUGAGCUUGGGGAAGGGCGGUUUUCAGACGGUUUUGAAUAGAAGACUAUUGGGUAACGUUUCUUUAAUCGCUUCUAAUUAUAUUUCAUCAUUUUGUAGUUAAACCCACCACUAAAAUUUGAAUUUGGGAUCAAAAGCUAGAAAAAUUGGGUGAAACUUCUUAGACCAAAUUAUUGGGUUUUGAGUGAGCAUUUGACCUCUAAUUUGGGAGAUUUUUAUAUGGUUAGACUCGUGAGAGUACGAUGGUUCUGAAAAUAUGAAAAUUAACCAAUUUCGAGACGUUGGCCUGAGGGGUAUUUUGGUUAUUUUGCCCAUUUCCGUGCCUUAGCUUUAAAUUUAAUAGUGAAAUCAGUUGUUUGCAAUGUUAUUUAUGAUAUGUAAUUGAAUUGAAUAGAUUUGAGCCAUUUGGAGUCGGAUACUUAAUUGUAGAAUCAAUUACUUGAAUUAUUCAUCACAAUAUGCAAUUUAAUUGAAUAGAUUUGAGCUAUUUGGAGUUGGAUAUUCUUGGCAAGAGUGUGGUUUCGGGUUGACUUGCACUUGUUCGAGGUAAGUGGCUUGUCUAACUUUGUGUGGGGGACCUUUCCCCUAUGAUAUAUUAUUUGGUAAUUGAGUGCAUUGUACGUGAGGUGACGAGCGCGUACUUGAGCUAAUCGUUAAAAUUUUGGUUUUUACUUAAGAUAUUGAGACUGAGUUUCUUUCGUACUUACUUAUCUUACUUGCAACUAUAACCUGUGAUAGAUUAGAAAGACAUGUUUAGUUGAUUUAGCUUGCCUACUUGCUUAAAUUGCCUUAACUGCAGGUAAUUGAGUGCCUUGUACGUGAGGCGACGACCGCGUACUUGAGCUAAUCCUUGAAAAUUCAGUUUUUACUUAAGAUAUUAAGACUGAGUUUCUUUCAUACUUACUUAUCUUACUUGCAAUUAUAACCUGUGUUUGAUUAGAAAGACAUGUUUAGUUGAUUUAGCUUGCCUACUUGCUUAAAUUUCUUUAACUGCACUACGUAAGACAUGUUAGGCUAGAACUAUCUGUUGCUUGUAUUGUUGUACUUCAUUUAUGAAUAUUCUUUGCUUGUGGUUGUGCAUAUUUACUUUGGGACUACGGGUUAGAUUCCCAGGAGAUCCCCCUACAUAUUUACUUGGGACAAUGAGUUAGAUUUUCGGGAGAUCCCCUGCACAUUUACUUUGGGACUACGGAUUAGAUUCCCGGGACCCUGCAUAUUUACUUUGGGACUACGGGUUAGAUUCCCGGGAGAUCCCCCUGCACAUUUACUUUGGGGCUAUGGGUUAGAUUGCCAGGAGAUCCCUCUGCAUAUUUAGUUUGCGACUACAGGUUAUAUUCCCGGGAGAUCCCCAUGUACAUUUAUAUUAUGGACUAUAGGACGGUAUCCUGGGAGAUCCUCAUUAUUGGUUGAUAUGGAAAUCGACUACAGGACAGUAUCCUGGGAGAUACUCGUUAUUGGUAUUGAUAUGGAAAUGGACUAUAGGACGGUAUCCUGGGAAAUCCUCGUUGUUGGUAUUAACAUAAAAAUGUCUACAUGACGGUAUCUUGGGAGAUCCUCAUAAUUGAGCUGUUGUACUCUGUGUUAUUUCUUCCUCGGUGUGUUGGUUGUUGUUGUGUAACCUGACUUACUUCACAAUUGUAUUCCAUUAUUUCUACUUACUUUAUACUGUUGUUAGCAUUCUUGUUAUAUUGUUUAAUCUCAGUAGGGCCCUGACCUUCCUCGUUACUACCUGACGAGGUUAGGCUUGACACUUACUGAGUACCGCUGUGGUGUACUCAUGCAUCCUCUGUGCAUAUUUAUUUUCAUGUGCAGAUCCAGGUACCUCCACUCAUGCAUACUACCCUCGAGGCGGAUAGAUCUAGAGGAGACUACGAGGUAUGUCUGCCGCGUCCGGAGACCAGGAGUCUCUAUUCUGUUCCAGCAUUAGUAGUUAUUCCAUCCUUUAUUUCAGUCGUUUAGACAUUUUGGAGUUAGAGCAGUAUGUUGCAUUUCCAUUAGCCUGUGAUUCCCGUAAGAUUCCGGGUUUUGGGAUUUAGUUGUAGACUUCCGCAUUUAUUUAUGAGUUGUAUAUGUCAAGCAGCACUUAUAUACUGUUUUUUUUUCUAGUUUUUGCUUACUUUAAUUAAAUGUUUUCGUAUUGUUAGGCUUACCUAGUUGUAGAAACUAGGUGCCAUCACGACAUGUUCAUAGAGGGUGAACUGAGAUCGUGACAUAAUAUUUAUCGUUACUACUUCUGAAUAUUCAUUUGCUUAGUUUCAUUUGGAC